UACGUAGGGUGCGAGCGUUAAUCGGAAUUACUGGGCGUAAAGCGUGCGCAGGCGGCGCGUUAAGACAGGUGUGAAAGCCCCGAGCUUAACUUGGGAAUUGCGCUUGUGACUGGCGUGCUGGAGUGUGGCAGGAGGGAGGUGGAAUUCCACGUGUAGCAGUGAAAUGCGUAGAUAUCGGGAGGAACACCAGUGGCGAAGGCGACUACCUGGCCACUCUUGACGCUGAGGCGCGAAAGCUAGGGGAGCGAACGGG
rnacentral:rRNA from 1 species